AAAAGAAGCAAAGCAUGAAAUGCAGUUCAAACACAAACAAAAGUGGUUCGUUGUUAAGGGAAAAGGAUUUAAACUUUAGAGGUAUUUGUUUGUCUGAAAAUUGUAGAGUGAAUGGAUAUGUACCUUCAUCAUCCUUAUUACUGUUGUGUGUUGAUCUGCGUGAAAAACUUCAAUAAUUUCUCACAGAAAUGUCAAACAUUAAAACAAAUCAAAACCCUGUUAACGUUUGUGACAACCAAACAUCCAACAUUUACGAAAUCCAAAGCUUACACAACAGAAUCACAUGCUUCAAUGUCACACAUACAUGACAACCCCAUUAACAUUGUCCACAUAAAUUAAAUCAUUACUAACAAUACUUGGAUACAUUAAUUUCUAUCAGAUUAGGUCAUCACUCAAAGCUCAUAUGGUAGGACCUUGGGGGAGUUGGAAUCAGCGAAACUGAUUCAUCGGCUUCAUUUCCCUUGCCAAUUCCAACUUCCAUUAUGGCGACCUUAUUUUGAUUGUCUGUUUUCUGGGCCUUGCCUUCAAGUUCUGGAUGGAUUUUUCUCUUCAACAUCCUCCUCAUCAAUUGGUGAAAUUUCUUGAUUGGACGUGAAUCCUCUCCAACGUGGGGUAUCAGCUUCUUGGCAAAGGAUAGACCAUUCUUGGCACGAACAGAUGGCUUUUUACCUGAGUCCGGCGCAAGUUCAAAAGAUUCCGGCUUUUUUUUCAUGUCAGAAUCUGCCAAGAACAGUUCUGCCAGCGUUAUUCUUUCUCCUUUCCUUUUUCUUUGAUCAUUGUCAUGGAUAUUUAAGUUGGUCUCCAUUGGAUCAAUUUUAGAUUUCGCAUCAUUUGCAUCAAAAGUUGUUGCAAGCUCUUCAAAAUUGUGCUCAAAUCUUGUAAAUAUUAAAGGGUUCUCUUCUUCAUUUUCAUCUUGAUUAACAUUGCUGUCUUCGUCAUCACUAUGGACAGAGUAUUGCUGCUGUUCCUCUUCAUCGUCAUUAUAAUCAUCAUCAUCGUCCUCUUCUUCUCCUUCAGUUUCCAGAACAAAAUAAUCAUUUUGUUGAUUAAAGGGCUUCAACGGGUCAAGCCCUAAUGUGCCAAUUGUCAAAAUGCCACCUUUCCAGCCAUCAAGCACAUCGACCAGGGCUACUUGUUUCAGUAAUGCUUGCUUGUCAGCUUCACUUGUAAUGGAUUCAGCCUUUUUCACAUUUCGGGCUAACCCAUCUAUCCAAUUUAAAAAGCAAAAAAAAAAGGUCCUUCCUUGAAUUUCAAUCACACAGACAACAAUUAUAAUAACACUCAAAAAAUGUAGCCAAAAGAAAAGAGAAAGGAGAAGAAAAGUUAUGCCUAUCAAACCUUUAAGGGCACCAUGAUGAAACCGCCUUUGCACCCAAUUGAAAAUCUUCAUGUUGAGAGAAACUUGUUGGCGAUCAGAAUUGGUACCCAAUUAAGGAAUGACUAAGCGAGGAAGCUAGUGAGAAAAAUGGCUAUGGAGAAGAACUAAAAAGGAGGGGCCAAACAUGGGGUGGAAGCCUUAGGGGUUGACAGGUGUCCAAGAGAAGGUGGGGCCUAGAAUAUAGGCAUGUUUUGGGGGUGCAUGGCAUGUUUGAGGAGCCACAAUGUUGGGUCUAUCUGGCAUGAUCGAUGGGUCGAAAUUCUCGAAAUGAUGUAUUCAUAUAUAAG
rnacentral:misc_RNA from 1 species